GAGCCACAGGCAGCGGCUGAGCCCUGGGCAGCCAUUGUGAGCAGCAGCCAGACACAGACGCCAACUCCUCCACCAAGCACGGAACCUCAUGCACCCAACUGCUCCACCAAGCACUGAACCUCACGCACUCUGUGCUCACCAUCCAACCUACCAAGAAGGCUGAGGGAGAGGACUUCAAGCAGCUCAGCUAAACACCCAGCAAAGGCUAUUCCCCGUCCUGUCCAAACUGGGCAAUAGCUGCAGCCUUGUAAGAAAGCCUGGUCCCUUGAGACUUCCUGAUCCUAGAGGCUGGACAUGCUCACCUGAGCUGAACCCUUGAGGAGGUUUGCCCAUCACUCGAAUGACGCUGCAGGAUCCAAGUCUUAUCUCAGCUACACUGCUGUAAAUCCAGGGCAAUCCUAUUGGCCUCAGCAUAGUUAUUUGGGAUUGAGACUGGUGUGAGCUCACAAUCUUGCUCAGUGACUUGACAACACAACUCCUCUGCCCCCAUUACCCAAACCCAAACCCAUCCACAGCACAGAUUAGUCCCUUUUUGGUGCACAGAGGUGAAAGGGAUGUUUCUCUGUGCUGCAGCUUUUCACGCUGUGCUGCUUCGCUCCCUCUUACUGUGUUGCUUCAAUCUCUCCUAUUGAGCUUAUCCUUUUAUUAUAACAUGAGUUACACAUUACCCAGCCAGUGGGAUCCUGGAAAAAUCUUGUUCCACCACCUACUUUUCUGUUGCUGCUGUUGAUGUCUCUGUAGGUUAGUCACACAUUUUCCCCCUAAUUCAUCCCAGCCCUGGCACCCACAUUAGCAAUUCUGCUACAAUCUGCUGGCUAGACCUCGUGUGCUUUGCCAUGGCUAGGAUCAGGUAGCAAGGAGAUGCUACGACAGAGGGGCCCCACCCCCGCCGCCCCUGAUGGCUGCUUGAUGGGAGCUGAGGGUAGGACUUGAGUGGGCAAAACAUACCCGGGGAUCAGACUGUAUUAAAGAAGAGGGUGGCUGCAAAGAGGCAGGCUAUGGAUACUAAACUAUAGGUCUCACUGCGCAGUGUUCCAUCCUGAUCCGGGGGCUUCCUGCCCCUCUGCCAAUUUCUGUACAAUGCUUUGUAAGCCAUGCAACAAUGCGUGCUCACCUGCCCAAUGAAAGCAGCACAUCCAUCAGUAUUUUUACAUACCUACCUUGUGUGCUGAUUUGCAUGUUCAGGAACAGCUGAAUAGCUCCAUGUAUAAACUAGUCAUUACCCUAGGCAAGCCCACUGAUGCUAAUGGGGCAAUAGGAACAGGAGGGCAGAACAUGGCCAAUGUGCGUGAGAUUCCAAGGGGAAAUCGACAGAACAUUAACUACUGGCAGCAAAUAGCAUAGCAACAGUACCGCUAGCCUUCAGUAAGUGCGUGGAGCUGCAACAGAUGCUGGAACAGGGACUGCUACAGUGUUCUAGGUUGGUGUGUGGAGCAAAGAGGCAUCUCUGCUCUACGCACCUGUUUUGCAAUUCUGUUCUGAGAAGGACAGGCAAAGAAAAAAAAAACAAAUGUUUUAGCUUUCUUUUCAAAGAACACGAGAAACUUUGGACAAAGGAGGCCAUAACAGCUGCUUGUGUUAAAAAGUAUCUUAGGCCUACUUCCUUGCUGGAUCCCUUAGUCCCUUCCUUCUAGAGAAAGACGUCUAAUAGACUCAUCAGUGCUAGAUUCUACCCUCAGUUAUGCCCUUGCAAGAUGCAAGCCCAUUGAUUUCAGCUGGGUUGAACAGAUAGCGGCAAGAGAUCAGCUGGCCUCCCGUGUUAUUACCUUUUGCAUUCAGGGCAGCAAGGCACUAAUAACCCUUUGCAUUGAGCAGUUUAGCCUGAGUUCCCUAAUAAGUCCUUGCUUCCUGGUGUUUUACGGUAAGUCCUUUCAUGCUGAAAUGUCUCACCAAUAGCAGCUGAGAGCUGGUUUCAAAAUGAAAUCCGGUUUCAAAACGAAAGCCCACUUUUGUGAAAUAUUUUGCAUAUGUCAAUAUUUUCCCCAUGUCUGAAUUACACACUUUUUUUAAAUAAAGAUUUUGUUUUGAAUUCUGAAA